rnacentral:rRNA from 1 species
UACGUAGGCAGCGAGCGUUGUUCGGAGUUACUGGGCGUAAAGGGUGUGUAGGCGGUUUUGUAAGUUUGGUGUGAAAUCUCCCGGCUCAACCGGGAGGGUGCGCCGAAAACUGGGAGACUAGAGUGCGGGAUGGGAGAGUAGAAUUCCUGGUGUAGCGGUGAAAUGCGUAGAUAUCAGGAGGAAUACCGGUGGGGAAGACGGCUCUCUGGACCGCCACUGACGCUGAGACACGAAAGCGUGGGUAGCAAACAGG